rnacentral:rRNA from 1 species
UACGAAGGGUGCAAACGUUGCUCGGAAUCAUUGGGCGUAAAGCGCACGUAGGCGGCCUUGCAAGUCGGAUGUGAAAUCCCACGGCUCAACCGUGGACGUGCAUCCGAAACUGCUCGGCUCGAGUAUGGAAGAGGGUCGCGGAAUUCCCGGUGUAGAGGUGAAAUUCGUAGAUAUCUGGAGGAACACCGGUGGCGAAGGCGGCAUCCUGGGUCGGAAUUGACGCUGAGGAGCGAAAGCCAGGGGAGCAAACGGG